UACGUAGGUGGCAAGCGUUGUCCGGAAUUAUUGGGCGUAAAGGGCGCGUAGGCGGUCUUGUAAGUCAGCUGUGAAAGCCCGGGGCUCAACCCCGGAGGGUCGGCUGAUACUGUGCGACUAGAGUGCAGAAGGGGCAACUGGAAUUCUCGGUGUAGCGGUGAAAUGCGUAGAUAUCGAGAGGAACACCUGCGGCGAAGGCGGGUUGCUGGGCUGACACUGACGCUGAGGCGCGAAAGCCAGGGGAGCGAACGGG
rnacentral:rRNA from 1 species